rnacentral:rRNA from 1 species
GAUGAACGCUGGCGGCGUGCCUAAUACAUGCAAGUCGAGCGAACAGACGAGGAGCUUGCUCCUCUGACGUUAGCGGCGGACGGGUGAGUAACACGUGGAUAACCUACCUGUAAGACGGGGAUAACUUCGGGAAACCGGAGCUAAUACCGGAUAAUAUAUUGAACCGCAUGGUUCAAUAGUGAAAGACGGUUUUGCUGUCACUUAUAGAUGGAUCCGCGCCGCAUUAGCUAGUUGGUAAGGUAACGGCUUACCAAGGCAACGAUGCGUAGCCGACCUGAGGGGGGGAUCGGCCACACUGGAACUGAGACACGGUCCAGACUCCUACGGGAGGCAGCAGUAGGGAAUGUUCCGCAAUGGGCGAAAGCCUGACGGAGCAACGCCACGUGAGUGAUGACGGUCUUCGGAUCGUAAAACUCUGUUAUUAGGGAAGAACAAAUGUGUAAGUAACUGUGCACGUCUUGACGGUACCUAAUCAGAAAGCCACGGCUAACUACGUG